GGGAUGUUGGCUCAGUGGUAGAGCGCUUGCUUUGCAUGCCUGAGGCCCUGGGUUUGAUUCCUCAACACCACA
rfam:Dipodomys ordii contig_49482, whole genome shotgun sequence.